rnacentral:pre_miRNA from 1 species
GGAAGGGGGCAGGGGUUUCUUUCGGCCUCCAGCCGCUUUGGAUAGUUGUAGGCCGGCGGAAACUACUUGCCUCUCGUC